rnacentral:lncRNA from 1 species
GUCCAUCGCGGGCUCCUCAUCUUCGAGGUCGAAGGCCUCCAGGACCUUGAUUUCACGCGGCGGGGAGGCGGUCGCCCUAAAGAGGUUGCAGGAGACCAUCUUUAUGACCUCCUGCACGACCGCCUCGGGGAACUUCUCGCCGGGGGAGGCGACGUAGUCGACGAGCUCGCGAAGAACACCUCGCUUGGCUUCCUUCUCCUGGAGAUCCUUCGUCGGAUCGGCGAAGUCGAAGAUCACGCAGCAGAGAUUGAGCUUUCUGAUGAGCAGGCCCUGCCUCUCGGGGGGUGAAACUUCUGCGAAUCUGGUCAGCGCAUCCGAGGAAGGAAAUCCAGGGCUCCCAUCCGCCUGGUCGUCGGCCCCUGGAUUGGAGAUCGGCUGGAGAUUGUCUACAAGCUUGGAAUCUCGUGUUCUUGCGCCGGCGGAGGCGUUCGCUCUGCCGCCCGAAUCCUUGCCAUGCUCCCCGGAUCUUGAAGACUUCCUCGGAAGCCGCCCGAGAAUCUGCUUAAUCAUCAGAGCUGCGGCGGAGCCAAUCCCUAGAAGACGACACGAACACCUCUCGAUUCCCUCCCGUUGCCAGCUUCAGACUCCUCUGGGAGGGAAUUGAGCUCCGAUUCGAUCGAGAACGACGCCCUUUUCUCCCAAAUCCCAACCAAUAAACUGGAGAGAAGCUCCUUCCGAUCCAAAGCUAGAGAUGACGAAGAUGACGACGAUGAUGACGACGAUGACGACGACGAUAGAAGGCGGCCCCAAUCUGAUCAACAAAAAUUGAGAAUCUGCGAGGAGAAAUCCGUCCGAG